AGGUUAAGCUACUAAGGGCACACGGUGGAUGCCUUGGCGCUAGGAGCCGAUGAAGGACGGGACGAACUCCGAUAAGCUUCGGGGAGCUGUAAGUAAGCUUUGAUCCGGAGAUUUCCGAAUGGGGCAACCCACCAGCUUGAAGAGCUGGUACCGCCACCUGAAUCCAUAGGGUGGUCGGGGGCAGACCAGGGGAACUGAAACAUCUAAGUACCCUGAGGAAGAGAAAGCAAACGCGAUUCCCUGAGUAGCGGCGAGCGAAACGGGAACAGCCCAAACCGAUGGCCUUGUGCCAUCGGGGUUGUAGGACGUCUCACACGGAGUUACAAAGGGAGCGAAUAGGUGAACUGGUCCUGGAAAGGCCGGCAAUAUAAGGUAACAGCCCUGUAACCGAAAUUCGUUCCCCUCCGAGACGGAUCCUGAGUACCGCGGGACACGUGAAACCCCGUGGGAAGCUGGGAGGACCACCUCCCAAGGCUAAAUACUCCCUAGCGACCGAUAGUGAACCAGUACCGUGAGGGAAAGGUGAAAAGCACCCCGGGAGGGGAGUGAAAGAGAACCUGAAACCGUGUGCUUACAACCAGUCGGAGUCCCCUUGAGGGAUGACGGCGUGCCUUUUGUAGAAUGAACCGGCGAGUAACGGUUGCGUGCAAGGUUAAGGUGAGAAGCUGGAGCCGUAGCGAAAGCGAGUCUGAAUAGGGCGCUUCAGUACGUAGUCGUUGACCCGAAACCGGGUGAUCUACCCAUGUCCAGGAUGAAGUUCCGGUAACACGGAAUGGAGGUCCGAACCUGUUGGUGUUGAAAAACCAUAGGAUGAGGUGUGGGUAGGGGUGAAAUGCCAAUCGAACCCGGAGAUAGCUGGUUCUCCCCGAAAUAGCUUUAGGGCUAGCCUCGGAUCAAGAGUCAUGGAGGUAGAGCACUGAUUGGGCUAGGGGCCCCCACAGGGUUACCGAACUCAGUUAAACUCCGAAUGCCAUCGACUCAUAUCCGGGAGUCAGACUGCGAGUGCUAAGAUCCGUAGUCAAGAGGGAAACAGCCCAGACCACCAGCUAAGGUCCCUAAGUAAUCGUUAAGUGGCAAAGGAUGUGGAGUUGCCUAGACAACCAGGAUGUUGGCUUAGAAGCAGCCACCAUUCAAAGAGUGCGUAAUAGCUCACUGGUCAAGUGACUCUGCGCCGAAAAUGUAACGGGGCUAAACGAUUCACCGAAGCUGUGGAUGUUCUUCGAACAUGGUAGGGGAGCGUUCCAAGCAGCAGCGAAGCUGCUUCGUGAGAAGUGGUGGAGCGCUUGGAAGUGAGAAUGCCGGUAUGAGUAGCGAAAAGAGGGGUGAGAAUCCCCUCCACCGUAAGCCUAAGGUUUCCUGAGGAAGGUUCGUCCGCUCAGGGUUAGUCGGGACCUAAGCUGAGGCCGAAAGGCGUAGGCGAUGGACAACAGGUUGAUAUUCCUGUACCACCUAUUUUCGUUUGUACGAUGGGGGGACGCAGGAGGGUAGGGAAUCGCGCGACUGGAAGUGCGCGUCCAAGCAGUGAGGCCGAAAGGAUAGGUAAAUCCGUCCUUUCUAUAGGCUAGGCUGUGAUGGCGAGGGAAAUCAUCAGUACCGAAGUUCCUGAUCUCACACUGCCAAGAAAAGCCUCUAGGAGAAAAUAGGUGCCCGUACCGCAAACCGACACAGGUAGGCGAGGAGAGAAUCCUAAGGUGCUCGGGAAAACUCUCGUUAAGGAACUCGGCAAAAUGACCCCGUAACUUCGGGAGAAGGGGUGCCCCGGUAGGGUGAAUAGCCCGAGGGGGCCGCAGUGAAGAGGUCCAGGCGACUGUUUAGCAAAAACACAGGUCUCUGCUAAGCCGCAAGGCGAUGUAUAGGGGCUGACGCCUGCCCGGUGCUGGAAGGUUAAGGGGAAGGGUUAGCGCAAGCGAAGCUCUGAACCGAAGCCCCAGUAAACGGCGGCCGUAACUAUAACGGUCCUAAGGUAGCGAAAUUCCUUGUCGGGUAAGUUCCGACCCGCACGAAAGGCGUAACGAUCUGGACGCUGUCUCAACGAGAGACCCGGUGAAAUUGUACUGCCAGUGAAGAUGCUGGCUACCCGCGACAAGACGGAAAGACCCCGUGGAGCUUUACUGUAGCCUGAUAUUGAAUCUAGGUACGACUUGUACAGGAUAGGUGGGAGUCUGAGAAACCGGAGCGCCAGCUUCGGUGGAGACGCCGGUGGGAUACCACUCUGGUCGUAUCGGGGUUCUAACUCGCCGCCGUCAUCCGGCGGGAGGACCGUGUCAGGUGGGCAGUUUGACUGGGGCGGUCGCCUCCUAAAAAGUAACGGAGGCGCUCUAAGGUUCCCUCAGCGCGGUCGGAAAUCGCGCUCUAGAGUGCAAAGGCAGAAGGGAGCUUGACUGCGAGACCUACAAGUCGAGCAGGGACGAAAGUCGGACUUAGUGAUCCGGUGGUUCCGAGUGGAAGGGCCAUCGCUCAACGGAUAAAAGCUACCCCGGGGAUAACAGGCUUAUCUCCCCCAAGAGUCCACAUCGACGGGGAGGUUUGGCACCUCGAUGUCGGCUCAUCGCAUCCUGGGGCUGUAGUAGGUCCCAAGGGUUGGGCUGUUCGCCCAUUAAAGCGGUACGCGAGCUGGGUUCAGAACGUCGUGAGACAGUUCGGUCCCUAUCUGUCGUGGGCGUAGGAAAUUUGAGAGGAGCUGUCCUUAGUACGAGAGGACCGGGAUGGACGCACCUCUGGUGUACCAGUUGUUCCGCCAGGAGCACCGCUGGGUAGCCAAGUGCGGACGGGAUAAGCGCUGAAAGCAUCUAAGCGCGAAGCCCCCCUCAAGAUGAGAUUUCCCAUUCCCCUGUGGAAGUAAGACCCCUUGUAGAUGACGAGGUUGAUCGGUCCGGGGUGUAAGCGCAGCAAUGCGUUUAGCUGACGGAUACGAAUCGGUCGAGGGCUUAUCCUA
rnacentral:rRNA from 1 species